rnacentral:lncRNA from 1 species
GCCCUGGAUCUGGUCCUGGGUGGUAGUUAAGGUGGUCAGCAUGAUGGCUCUCCCUUAUCUGCAUCACCAGGACAUCCUUCCAGCACUGCUCCAGCUAGGCCAUUCAAUGCCACCAUUAGCAGGAGGCUGGGUAUCAAGGGAGGAGGGCAUUACCCUCACCCUGACACCACCUCAGGACAUAUGAGUGAUGGUGCCAGUUCUCCCCUGCUCUCAUCCCAGGGUCCUGCUCCUCAUCUGUGCCCCUCCACCAGGGCAUAAAGCAGCUUUGCCACCAAGCCAGGCAUCAAGCUAGGAUGAACAAAGAGCUGCCACCUACUCUGCUCCUGACUGAUAUAAGCACAACACCACCAACCAGGAAGCUCCCAGAACUCUCAGACCCCCCAAGGACUGCACCAUGGUUCUGACUGCUCAGUCACAUGCCCUUGACCUCUUUCCCAUCCCACAGAAAUGUGCAAGCACUUCAAUAUUCCUUUAUAAUAAAGACUUGCUCAGUCUGUUAUGAA